AGUUGGCUUUUCAGAUCAUUCGCAGUUAGUCUUCCAGAACGCUCCACUGAUGGUGUAUGCUGUGCUGCAGCGUCCCCACCAUGCACUAGGCUACUGCAUAGGUUGAUAUGAGUCAAGAUAAUGUUUAGAUCGAAUCCGUAUGGCGAGUCGGAUCAAGACUGAAGAACAGAAAAGCAGCACGGGUUCAUUAGUUGCCAUGCAGUGGACGAGCGAGGAGCUGCCUGGGUGUUCGUCUGCUUGGCUUCGUGUCCUGUAGUUUUGAACUCCUGUAGAGCCUCCGACAGUCAGCAUUUGCAGGGAAGGUGGUGGAAUGCUGAUGGUCAUUUUUCGAUAAGGAGGAAUAAGAAUCGCUGCUUAAGUGUUUUGCCAUGCGAUGGGGGACGAUGGAGCAACCUAAAAACACCUGCGCUUCCUCGCACAUUAUAGUGCCUGGAACAAGGGGAAAAGAGUUUUCAAGCACCAAUUACGCACCAAGGACCAAGAGGCAAGACUAGCAGUGCAAGCCUUCGCCACAAUCCUCCACACUGCCUUAUCUUCAUCAAUUAAAGGUAGUGGAAGUAUCAGAGCACAAUACUUAGAAGGGAAGGAGGACUUAUAUCAAGAAGCAAAAGGGGAAGUUGUCAUCUAACUAUGUUCAUGCACGAUGAGAAGCAACAUCAACAAUGAUGGUGGAGGCAGUCCUGAUUGCUCAAACGGCCUUGUGGUGUGGACUGGUUCAGCCUGUAGGUAGAGAAAAGUGGGCAUAGCAUCAUGCACUUCAGGAUUGUAUAAGGCUAUUUACAUGUAUCUAUGCAAGCACCAAGAACUGUACCUUCGCUGUACUUCUAACGCAGAAACUUGAUGAUGGAUGGGAUUGGCUGAGUAUAUUCUGUAGUGUCUAAUGGUGUAUUUGUGAAACUGGUGGCCAUCAGAUGUCACUGGGAAGUUGAGAAACAGCCAAGCCAACCAAGAAAUUUAUUUACUAUUGUGAUUUUUCUGUACUUAACCCAUGAAGCUGUAUCAUUAUGUACUAUUGAAGUAAUAAUAGUCUUAGUAGCACACAGGGAAUUGUUUACCGUAAUGUAUCUUGUGAAAUCAGAGCUACAUACGAUGUUUAACGCUUGGCAAUUAUAUUAACAUUGUUCGUAUAAUAAAACUAAAAUGGUCUGUCCGUGUGAGUGACAGCAGACAGUGAGUGACAUCAUUGACGUGAUGAAGUCCUCAUUGGAUGAAAUCCAAACAAAUAUGAAUCGUAGCCAACCUCCGAUGACAGAUGAUCUCCGAGCUUAAAUAUCUGCUGUUAAACUAUUCAGUAUUAUUAACAUUAAAUUUCCACAACAGAAGUCGACACUUAAUCAUGGGGAGCAUAUGCCGGGGGUUGCAUUGCCUCGCCUACCUAAGG